GGCAUUCUUGCUUUUGCUAUGAAGCAGAGACUAUGGUUCUGAUGUGACUUCUGCUGUGUCAGUGAAUGGCCUGUGUGUUAUGAUGGGAGCCAUUUUUCCUACUGAAGUUACAGCAAUGGCAGUGUGCAAGCCAACUGUUCCCACUGCAGAAGGAAAAGCCCCUGGGAGAAGAGAAACAUCCAUUAUCCAUUCUGCACCCUCUCAGUUCAUUCCAAUCCAGGCUUUGGAUUUUUUUUUUUUUGAGUCCUGUGUAGCCCAAGCUGAUCUCAAAUCCCCCAUGUAGCAAAGAAUAACCUUGAAUUCCUGAUCAUUCUGCCUCCACUUACCAAUAAUAAGACUACAGGACUACCAUGCCAAGUUUAUGGAACAGAUGGAACCUAGGGCCUUGUGUUAGGCAAGUACUCUGCCUACCAAGCUCUGGGCCUCUAUCCAGUUCUUUGAAAGCGCACCCCCUGUUUCUAAAGGCAUGGUGCAGACUUCUUCAGUUCAGGUCUACUUGGAGAGUCUAGAUACUCCAACCUGUGGGAGUCAAAAUGAGCCUCAUCUCCUACAUUUGUAAUCUUACCAGUUUUGUGCUAAGUUCCUACUCAUAGGAACUGUUUCAGGGGGCUGGAGAGAUGGCUUAGCAGUUAAGAGCACUGACUGUUCUUCCAGAGGACCCAGGUUCAAUUCCACAUGGGAGCUCACAACUGCAACUCCAGUUCCAGGGGAUUUUAUAUGUCCUCAACAAUGCACAUAAAUUUAGAAAGGAAACCUGUUUCAACUACACAUCAAGAAUAUAUCUCAGCCAUAGUGGCACACACCUUUAAUCCCAACACUUGGGAGGCAGAGGCAGGUGGAUCUCUGUGAGUUCAAGGCCAGCCUGGUCUACAAACAGAGUUCCAGUAUAGCCAAAGAAACCCUGUCUUGGAAAACAGAAACAAAGAAUAAAUCUCUUUGUGGGCUGGGGAGAUGGCCUGGUCAGUAGAGCAUCCGCUGUGAGAGCAUGAGGACCUGAGUUCAGAUCCAAAACCUCCACAUACAACAACCUGGCAAUUUCAGAGAUAGAUACUGCUGACAGCCAGUUAGCCAAAUUGAUGAGUUACUCAUACAUGUGCGUGCAGACACAUAUGUAUAUAUGAGGCACUGGAGCAAUGGCUUAGUGAUAAAAUUUUGAGGAGCAGAGUGUGGAUUCCCAGCACUUACACAAAAGCCAGGCAUUGAGGUAUUCCUGAGGAAGGGGGACGGGAGGCAGAGCCAGUCAGAAGCUGAAGAUUCAGUGAGAGACUCCAUCUCAAAAAUUAAGAUAAGAGAGCGAUGUGGCAUGGACCUUUGGACUGCAGGCACACGAAUAAACAUGCACACCUGCACACUCAUAGGCCAGAGUAGGGCGUCUGAUCCCAUGAACUAAAGGCCGUCUGUCAGCCCAACCUUCUGGUCAGGUGGUUGGCAUUGUGUCUUGAGACUCCACUCUCCUUACUGUCUGCUCCUCACCUGCGUUCUUCUUGUGCCUGCAGUGGACAUCUAGAUUGAAGAUUAACUCAGAACAAAUAAACCAUUAGCAGUUUCUAAGAUUUCUUCCCACAGAAUUGUUUGCCAUAUAGACUAUGAAGUGUGUCUAUCAAUUCUAUUAGCCACGGUUACUUUGGUCUACUCUUGUGUACAACAAACCUGAGAAAAUGGCUGAAGACAAGCUAGCCAGGUCCAAGGUCUACUUAGGAAAUGUAGUGUCUGAAUGUGAGUACUAAUUAAGUAUUUGAGGCAAAUUCUGUGUUUGAAUGGUCAAGAUGUAAGAGGAAGAAUUUUACCCCUUUAAAUGGUGGGCUAGUGAUCAAUGAACUACAUUUCCCAUACCGCCUGAGGCAGUUUCGCCUGCACUUCCCAGAGGGCUAUUCGCCCUUUUGCUCUGUCUCCGAGCAUCCGUGGGAAGAGAAAGAGGCGCUGUACUCGUAAGCAUUGCUUUAGUAAAAUAUCGUUUUCUGUCUUUCCUCGUUCCUCUAAUAUGGACUCACUCGCCGACUUCCGGAGCCCAAAUAAUCUGGGCAUAGUCUCUGGUGUAACGCCAGUCACCAGUUCAACUCCUCGAAGCCGGAAGGUGUGACUGCCGGAGCAUUCUGGGAGAUGUAGUUCUGAUUCUCUUACAAGCUGCAGCUUGUCUUGCUCCGCCUCCUCCCACACCAGAGACGGCGGGUGCGUGAACAGAUGGGUGGAAGCUGUGAGGGUUAGUGACAGAUCUGCGUAAGAGCACCCUGCGGGCCAUCGACGACCGCAGAGUCAAUCAAUUUCCGGUCGCGAGCCCGGCCCGGUAAUCGGCUUGCCGCUGAGAACCCUGGGAAAUGUAGUUAGGCACGAGCAGCUGCCGUUAGCUGCGGGUUUGCUGCCGGCACCGCGGCGCCUCGGCUGUUCGCGGCUCCGAUCGACUUCCCACGACCAAAGAAUCUACCUCGAAUUGGGGACUUUGUGAGCGUUAACCCUGCGAGGAACGUCAAGCAGAGCGCUGGAGAAGCUUGUGGCCCCCAUGCCAAACAACGUCACAGCACGCUCAGGUACCCUCCGUUGGCUUCAAGAUCUUUUGGAGGGAAAACUAGGCCAUGUCGUUACUGGGAGAGACACUCCAAGCAGAUCAGAAGAGGGAAAAGCAAUCCAGAUUUAACAUUUGAAGGUGAGCCACAUGUUGUCCUUUGCAUUCUCCAUGGAUUCUUCAAGUGCCAAAACACCGAGGAAGGUGCAGUGGCUUGUGUCUCUGUGUACACUGUGGCAUAGGAGGUGGCUCUGGCCAUUUGCCUUUGAAGAUGAAGCUCGCCUUCCCAGACGAUUUUCUGUCUUUCCCUUCAAGGUCUUCCAGGGAGGAAAGGGAUUUCUUAGCACUUCCUCUUCCUCCCUACUCUGCCCACCAGGCAGCCCAGCCAUGUUAGCUCUGAAGACCCAUGAGGUGACAGGAGCCUGCGUUGGAGAUGUUACUAGUUAGUUGGUGUUGUGCUUGGACAUAGGAAUGAGCUUGGGGAAGGACACUUGAUGAUUAAGAAAGAAGGGGCACUGGUGUGUGUCUCCACCAUAUCCAGGCUGUGGGAGAGGCUGGCUCAGGGACCACCCCUCAUGUGAACUCAGAGCUCUGCUGGCUCAGCUUCCAUGGCACAUAGGGCUGUACCUGUUGAGGAAAUGGUUACUUCCAGACUUAGUAGACAGACAGUUCAUGGAGGUAACACACAGACUAGAAAGUGAAGGAGUACAGAGUUCUAGGUCCCACCAAGGCUAGAUGUCCCCUUCCUUGCUGGUUAUAAAAAUCUCUUGUCAUGUAUAAAAAGGUAGGGUGGCAAAUAUCUCUAAACCCAAGUUCUCAUGUGGCCACAGUUCCCUUCUGGCCCUUUAAAUGGAGUAUGUUAAGGGAUGGGGAUGUAGUUCAAUUGGUAGGGUGCUUACUUAGUAUGCACAAGGCCUUGGGUUCCGUUUGUAGUGCUCCAUGAGCCAGGUGUGGUGGCACAUGCUUGUGAUCCCAGCACUUGGGAACAUGUGGACGGCUCACCAAGUGCCCAGGCACACAGGGAAGGGAGUGUCUGGUAGAGGCCACAUAAGAAUCCGUUUGUCCCCAGUGUUCCGUACUCCUGUCUUGGAAAUAUAAUGCUAUAAUGUGAUUUGUACUAAGUCUCUAGAACAUUCCCUCCAGUUGCACCAAUAAUGACUGUCCCAAGGACGCAUUCAAUUAAAAAAAAAAUGGUACAAAUGGAGAGAGGAGCCACAAGCAGAGGAAAUGCAGGCUCUUGAAGAAACAAAGGCCUGAGGAGAGAGGUCACUGCCCCAGGCACCCAGGGAGCUGUUGAAGUCCACCCUAGAAGGGGCUUCUAGCACCCUGCUCAAGCCGGCAGUCUAGAAAGCUGUGCAGAUGCCCUUGCUGGUCCUGACAGCACACACCAGGAGGUUCAUCACUCAGGACAUGGAGGCAAGGCAUUCUCCAGAGUCAUCCUUGCCUACAAAGUGCCUUUAAGGGUAUCCUGGGCAUCAUACUUGAAAUCCUUUCUCAAAAAAAAAUUUUUUUAAGCCCAAUGCUGUAUUUCCCAUCACCCUACUUCCUGUUCCGAGGUUACCAGUAGGGCUCCCAGCCAUUCUUUUGAGACAGUUGUAGCUUCACUGAGGUCCCUGGCUCCCUCUCUCUCUGUAUAUAUUUUUUUUGUUUUGCUUUGUUUGUUUCUCAAGGGUGUUUCUGUGUAGCUCUGGCUGUUCUAGAACUCGCUCUGUAGACCAGGCUGGCCUCAAACUCAGAGAUCCACCUGCCUCUGCUUCCUGAGUAUGUGAGAGACUCUUGUCACAGUACCUGAUGUGUUAGUGCUCACAGUGACUUGGGAGUCCCAUGCAGCGUCUCACUUAAUCUUCUCAGCAAACCUUUGGAAUAAGCCUUUGGGCCAUGAUACAACUGAAGGAAAUAGGUGUGGAGAGUGUUACUCAUCUCUCAAAGCCAUGCAACUCCUGGGUGGAGGAACCAGGGCUCCAAUGCACACCUUCCCAAUAAUUGUGCCCGUAAAAGUCCCAGUGUUGGUAGCAGGAGUUUCAGUUCCAUUUGCUGGGAUAAGCAGCCUGCUUUCUGGACUUGUGACCUUUUGAAAACAGCACUGCUUCCCCAAUCUCAUCUUCAGGCUGCCCGACCCUAUUCAGUACGUUACAGGAGCUUAUACUUCCUAUGAGAGACAUUGGCUUCCUACCAGCAGACACUAGCAUAUCUGCUGUGGGAAUUGAGGGGGUUCUUGAGUUGGGGCACACUCAACAGCCUCUGGUUCUGCCAUCGACUCUGCAAGUCAGGCAUCCUUAUGUUUUAUUUCUGUUCCGCUAUGUUUGGGACCUCCACUGGAUUGUCUGGAGAUAGUGGACAUGUACAAUAGGUAGGGCUCUGUGUCUGGAGCCUUGGCUCUGUCUGCCAGCUGGGUUCCUCCUCUCCCUGUGACAUCAUCUGGGGCUAAGAUGCCUAAAGAGGCUCUGGCAGGCCCCUGGUGCCUCCACCUUCUUUUAUGUGUCCACUCUCUCAGAAGACUUGCUCUAUCUUAUGGUCUCUGGGCUAUCAGAGCCCACUGUCUCUCUCUCCACUGCACUCCACUUUACCUCUAGCCAGUGCUACCUAGGAGGUAGCACCAUAUACUACAAGAGUCCACCCCUGUGCAUGCACUCUGUUUUUUGGACCAGAAUGAGAUAGAUCUAAGGUGGCCAGUAACUUUUGAAGGUAUUUGACUCAAAAAUGGAAGGAAAUCCAGUUCAGCCAGUUAGAUUUCGCCUUUUUUAGAAAUCUGAACCUGAAAGACUGAUUGACAGUAUGUAACCAGAUGUUAGGAUAGUAAGUAGGUUUUUGAUGAUCUAAUGUUCUGGCCAAAAUCACAAUGGAGAAAGUGAGGAAACAAGUGGAUGAAAUGGAGAAAACUGCACUUACUGUGGAGGAGGAAGUGACCCUUUGGAAAAGGAGACUGACUGCCCUGCAUGUCACUUAGCAGGCUUGUCGCUUUUGCUUUUGCUGUUGACUUAGAAGUGGUCAUGUGAUUCAGUUCUGCUAAUACACUUAUGGGGAAAUGGUUGGAACCAUCUUGAAUCCAUGAGGCAACGAGUCCAAGGGGAGACAACCAGAUAAGGAUGGCAGGGCAGACAGGUGAGCAGAAAGGAGCCUGGGUCACUGAUGAUACUGCUGAGCCCCUGUCCCGGAACCAUCUCCUUCCAGCCUGGCUGCUGUGCAGGCCUGCUGUCUCCUGAGCCCUCCUGCCCUUGUGGCCCUUCACCAAACUGCCCUGCCUCUCCUCCGAGCAUCCCUUGCUGCUGCUGCUCUAUCGGUUUUUCUGUGGUUCUCAGUGGAGAAAACCCAAGCUGCUUUCCUUGAGUGUUGGUGGAAGCCGUCGGGCUUGGCUGAUAGGAAACUGACAGAAACAACACCAGUGGCAAGAUCUGUCACAGCCUACAGAACAACCCCAGUGAUUAGUCAUAGCCCUGCAAGCACACUCGGUGGGCACAGACCAGGAAGGAUAAAUAGUUCUGGAAAUUUACAUGUGCAUGAGCCCAAGUCUUCUCAGACACAGAAAAAUAUAUUGGGGGUGGGGGCAGUGCCUGCAAUCCAGAGCCCAAAGAGUGAGAAGUCAGGACAGGCCAGGUGUGUAAAUUCUGUGGACAGGUGCCAGUAUCUACAGCCGGUUGUUGUGAGCAAUGCACAGGAGCUUGGGAGCAGUUUGUGCUGCUCCCUCUCUAUGCUGGGGCAUGUGCCAUCUUCAUGCCUUCCCUCUCUUCCUCCCUCCCUCUCCCUUCCCUCCCUCUCUCUCCCUCCCUCCAUCUCCCUCCCUCUCUCUCCCUUCCUCCCUCCCUUUUUUCUUCUACCUUUUGUUUAAGGGAAGCAGGCUUGACCCAGCAGUGCACACAGCUAACCCGAGUUUCUUCCAGGCAGCUAAGCACUGGGAGACAGGAGGCUGGGAGUGUGGCUCAGUUGGCAGAGUGCUUGCCUAGCAGACACCACCGCAUACACUAGGCAUGGUGGAUGCUUGUAACCCUCCCCUCGGGAGGGGGAGCAGGAGGACAAGUCCAAGACCAAUGGAGAAGCUGAACCUGGCACCUCCUCUUUGAAACUCUAAAAAGCCAGGCUUCUGCUGGUGCCUCAGCUGAAACUGACAGAUAGUCAUUUCCCCCAUUGGAAGCAGACUCUAGCAAAAGCCCAGCUCCCUCGGGGGCAUCUCAGAAUAACCACAGGGGCCCGUCAUGGAUGUGUUAAGUCAAUGAGAGGCUCUGAUGGAGACUCGACACCAGCCCUCAGGACAUGGCCUGUGUGCCUCACAUCCCAAAUGCCAAGGCCAGUAGCUCACAUUUGAGUAUUGUAGACUUGAUUCGCUCAAUGGGAAUAGACUAAAACCAGCAAAGCAAAUCUCAAUUUGUAAAAGGGACAAGGAAGAUCACCAGAGAGGGGAAAGCAAAAAGCAAAAAAACAAACAUAAAAACUCCUGUGAGGUAGAAAA